GGUUAAAAAGAAUUGUGACGUCUGUUCGUAAAGAAGCAAACAAACAAAAUUCUCCGCACACCAGCUUGCCCCGUUUUCAUACUCUCUCUUCUGAAACCUCAUGCAAACCUAAUCAAACCCAUCCAAUUUGAACUACGAGAGGUGAUCAAUGGAAACAACUCGCGAUUGUUUUUGGAAUAUUAUUUGAGUUGAAGAUCAUAGAAUCUGAAAUAGAAGCUAUUCUUAAAAUCCUAGGGUUUUAUCAGGGAAUCUUUUAUGCUUCUUAACUCGAUUUCUUCUCUGUAUAUUUGGUAUAUCUAAUUGGUCAAAGCCUAAAAAUAUCCUAGGGAUUUUGCAGGCUUUAGAGAAUCAAUCAAGUUUGACUAUGGGAGUAAGGCCUUCGCAGAUAGAUUGGAACUCUUUGAGUUCGAUCAAGUCCGACUGUGGAAGGAAUUUAAUGUACAGAUUGAUACAAGAACUAAUAUAUAUGUUAUCAGUGGAUUGCAAUUCUUGCAGUGGUUGUCAAAAAAAAAAAAAAACAGUGAACUUGGAGUAAGUUUAUAUUUCCCAUUCGUUUUGAUUUCAUGUUUGUAUAUAAUUUAUCGAAUCAAUUUCUGAGGUUUGUUAUAAAAAAGAUGUUGAUCUAAUAUUUGAGCUAACAUGGGUUCUUUUUUCACAAUUCCAUCUGUAUGAAGGAUUGAUUUUAGGCUCCCUUUUGGUAGGUAAGACUUAAAGCAUACACUUAAUAUUUUCUAUGUGUUCCUUAAAUGUUUAAUCAAUUUGUUCAACUGUUUGAAUGAGUCUACCAAGCACAAAGAAUGCAGUGGAAGACUAAAUUACUUCUUUAUCAGGGAACUAAGAACAAUUGGGCAUGAGAACAAUUUCUGCAUCACCAUUGAGCAUCAUUAGACCAAGGAGAUUAGGUCCCUUCAAGAGUCGCUCGAGAAGUUCAAAUUAAAGAUGGCUAAUUUAUGUGAACUGGUUGAAAAUAAACUUUUCUGAGUUCUGAGCUACAAAAUGAGAUCAACAUACGGGAAGCCGAGGCACAAAGCUGUUUAUACAUCUUCAUAACCUGCUUUCAUCUAUUCGAGAAUAAGGGAAGGUCAUACAAGUUCAUAUUUUGAUGAGCCAACUUUUUCCACCGAAUGAUGAGUUUCUUCAGAGACCACAACUACGGCUGUACAUAUACGUAUAUAUGGGGAAAUAGUGGGUGGUGGCGGAUAUGUAUUAAUAUGGAGGUUUGGUCGUGGGGUGGCAGUGGUUGCUGCUGAUGGUGGAUUUGUUGUAGUCUUCAAAUUUGGUUGAUAUCGAUUUACAUAAUUCUUGGUUUUGUUGUCUCUUAUGUUUGUGAAUUCUGAUAUUGGUACUCAUAUUAAUUAUAGAAUGUUGUAGGGGCCUAAGUUUUUGGAACCAAAUUCAAUAGUGAUUCCACAACAAAAACUCACAUUCUCAUAAUACAAUGAACUUAGCAAUCAGAUUGACAAUAGUCACAACAUUAAUCUUACAUGGUCUUGCAAGUUACAAAGAGGCCUAACUGAAAGGAGUGUCAAAUUUAAGAACUGACAAUUGUGGGCUUGAGGUAUACGUUUGUCAACCUAAAAUUUCGCAGCAGUGAAUAAUUAUGGAUACUUAUGCUCACUCCAGAUAAUAUAUAGUUUCUAAGUGACAGAUGUUGGCGACAACUACUAAAUAUGCAAAAAUUAGGAUACAACUAGGUGGAGUGAAAUUACAAUUUGAGUAUUGAAAUUGUUCUGAUGAUGCCAUCUUUAUUUAUUUUGUAUUUCUAUUGUGUUCGUUUAUUUUCAUGGUCUUGCAAGUAAGAGAAGAUACAGACUGAUCUACUAAUCCUAAACUUGAGCUUCCAGUAUCAGACGAAAUUGAGUUGCAUUAAAUUUUAAUAACUAUUUACUUAAGUUCAAGGAGAAUAAAAACCUUUUCGUUGUAGCAUUUACUUGGUAGGCUCAAAGUCUCCUCUUGGUUAAACCUUCUCUUUGAUAAUUAUUUUGGCAUUUACUUCAUUAUUUGCGUGUACCUAUACAAUUUAUAUUGGUUGUUUAGAUCAAACUAACUGAGAUAUUUUACAGAGACCACCAUUGAGAUAUAUCCUCUAAGAAAUAUUGGCACGAUAUGCUCUUAAACGUGACUUUUACGAGGAUGCUUUAAAUCCAGCGAAACUUGAACCGAUGCAAGAGGAUGAGGGCUCUAAACCUAUGUUGUGAAAGGUUCCCUAGGCGCACGAGUCGUGCAAGGGGCGCCUAGACCAAAAAACACCUAAGGCGCCACAAGUAAUAUGAGCAAAAAAAAAUUUUAAAAUUUUCUGGGUGCCUUAGGCGCGCCUAGCCCUCGCCUAGCCUUAACACAACAUAGCUCUAAACUGAUAUUUUUUCAGUUACCAGUGUUUCUUUGCAUUUGAAGAAGAAUCAGCUGCCUACAUAGGACAAAAAAACAGGUAGCAACCCAAAACCAUCCAUUGCCAGUGGGACAUCAAGAUAUACAGUUUGGAAGAAUUGCCACCUGGAUUCAUGGUAAUAUCUUGGUGCACAAGAGUGAAGGAUCAAAGACACCUUUUGUAUAUAUAUUAUUAGCUUUCUUUAACUUCAUAUUACUUAGGAAGAGUUUUGGUAUGAAUUAGUUUUUAGCCGUUCAACCCUGUUACCUAAAUUUUCUUUAGGUGAAUUCUUUUGAACUUUUUAUUGAUCCGAUGCUAUACUGAAAUGGGAAAACCUAUGUCAUCUACAAAUGCAUGAAUACGUACAAAAAUGUGGUUCUUCGGAGCCUAUAUGAAAUCAAUAUCUACUCAAGAGUAUGAAAUUUUUUUAAAUUCAUAUCUUUCUGAUUAUAUUACUUGGGAAGAGUUAGUUCUUAGCCGUUCAACCAUGUUAAGUAAAUUUUCUUUAGCUGAGUUUUGUUUGAUGUUUCAUACUCUCUUGAUAGCUAUUGAUUUCGUAUAGCCUCCUGAGAACCACAUUUUUGUACGUAUUCAUGGAUAUGUAGACGACAUAGGAUUUCUUAUCUCAUCUUUGUUGUUCCAUUGAAUUAAACUUCCUGGAUGUGCAUGGAAAAUUCUGUCUUCUUAAA